rnacentral:lncRNA from 1 species
ACAUUAUACACAUCACACCCUUUAUGUUUUGGUUCCAUACGGAGUGAGAAUAUUUUGAGGCCGCAUGCGUAAAAACAUCUUUUACUUAAUCUAGAGCCCUUUACAAUGUGGUUCUGAUGUGAUUAAUUCAAGCACAUCAUAACAUUGAGAGUAAAUAAGUCAAUGAAUAGACUACAUUUGAAAAUGCAAUGCUCAUGAC